AAUCUCUUCCCCUCUUUAUUUCGACCCUUACUCCCUCGAGCCCGACCUCACUCUCCCGCCUCUCAAAUCUCUCCCUCCCUCCUCUCAAUCUCUCAAUCUCUCCCUCUCUUCAAGAACCCUAAUUUCACUACACUCAAGAACCCUAGUUUCACUACACACUCAAAAGAUUCGAACUCUAUAAACCCUAAUUUAUUAACACUACCGAAGAAGAUUCCAAAUCCAUCUUGAUCUAAAAGUUUGUUCACUUUGAGAGUUUGUUUGUUGACUUUGGGACUUGUAGUGAGGUUCCAAUUUAAUGCUAAUGAUUUAUUGGAAUGGAAAGAUUUUCCAAAAGGGCUCAGAGUCCUGCUGCUUGUACAAGAGACUGAUUUUGCUGCACAAACAAGAUCAAAUCUUGAGGUGAUGGAUUAUAUUGGUCAGAUUUCUAUAAGAUCCCCUUUUCUUCUGAAUAAACAUGGAAAAGUAUUGUUUUGAAUAAACAAAACUCUGGUCCCUGUCAUUUUCAAUCUAGUCUAGCUAAUAUAAAACUCAUCUAAGUACUGGAAUUAGAAUCUUUGAGUUAUUCCACUGGGAUAUAGAAGUUAUCUUUUUUGUAUAUUCCUUAAAGUAAUUGCCCUUUUUUUAAUUAAUAUGCCAGUAUACUACCUAGAACUGAUUGUGACAUUC